rnacentral:tRNA from 1 species
GACGCGGUGGCCUAAUGGUUGGCGCGUUGGACUCCGGAUCGAGGGGUCUGGGUUCGAGCCCUGGCCGGGGUCA